CAUUGGCCGGGAAUCGAACCCGGGCCUCCCGCGUGGCAGGCGAGAAUUCUACCACUGAACCACCAAUGCUGCGCCGACAACAGCUCCGCUCCGGAGGCUCAGGAGCUCGGCCGCCGCCCGCGCCCGCGCCCGCGCCGGCCCCGCCCCCGCCCCGCCCCGCCCCGCCCCGCGCCUGCUCCCGCCCCCGCCCCGCCCGCGGCCCCGGGGCCGGGAGCGUCUCCUCCGCGCGGUGGCGCCAGCGCUGCCUGCGUCCUGCACCCCCGCCGCGACCCCCGAGGGCUGGUGCGCCCCGCCCUGCCCCGCGCUCCUCUCCCCCAGGAAGGCCUCCCUCGCACCCCCGGAACCGGCAUCCCUGCUGCUUCCAGGCCGCCCCUCCGGACCUCCUGGAGCCAGAGAGCGGGGCGGGGGCGGCCGGAACCGCCCCCGCAGGCCGGCCUGGGGGGUGCAGGAUACAGGGGAAGGGGCCCGAAGGUCGGCACUCAGACCCAGUGGCCCUCCAGGCCUCCCCCUCGCGGACUGGGCCUGAGCCGGGCGCGGGGGAGCGCAGCACCGGAAAGUUGUUCCAGAAACUGUACUGUCCGGCCCGCAUCCCCUCUGCCACCCCUGAUCACCCUUCCAGCCCCAGGCGCAGGCGGCACCUGAAUGAAGCUCCUGCAGCUCUGUCCUGCCCAGUACGAGUGAUUAUGACCUGGACCAUAAGCUGUACAGGGAAAAUGUCCCCUACAGUAGGGUGUAUGAAUACCAAAGGAUCCCUCCACUCAUCAACCGCGUGCCUGUCAGGAUCCGGAGGACCCAGGUGGGCAUGGGGGUCAAAAGCAGCUUCCGUCUUCACACGGGCCCCAGGAAGAGCCACCUGCCCCGGGAGCAAAUAAAGCUCCCGACUGAGGAGCUGCACUCCAUCAGGGGGGAGCUGAGUCAGAUCAAAGCCCAAGUGGACCGUCUAUUGGAGAAUCUGGAGCACAUGGGCCAGCAGAGGGACCAGCUUCCAACUGGGGGCCCGGGACACACUCCCA
rnacentral:tRNA from 1 species